GACGAACGCUGGCGGCGCGCUUAACACAUGCAAGUCGAGCGAAGCGGCGGACGGGUGAGUAACACGUGAGUAACCUGCCUUAGACAUUGGGAUAGCCUCGGGAAACCGGGAUUAAUACCAAAUGGUCUAAGAUGGGCUCGCGUCCCAUUAGCUAGGUGGUGAGGUCACAGCCUACCAAGGGGACGACGGGUAGCCGGCCUUAUAGGGCGGACGGCCACAUUGGGACUAAGAUACGGCCCAAACUCUACGGGAGGCAGCAGUGGGGAAUAUUGAACAAUGGGGGAAACCCUGAUGCAGCAACGCCGCGUGCGGGAUGACUGCCUUCGGGUUGUAAACCGCUUUCAGCCAUGACGCGGUAGUGGCAGAAGAAGCACCGGCUAACUACGUGCCAGCAGCCGCGGUAAUAC
rnacentral:rRNA from 1 species